CCUACGGGAGGCAGCAGUGGGGAAUUUUGGACAAUGGGGGCAACCCUGAUCCAGCCAUGCCGCGUGAGUGAAGAAGGCCUUCGGGUUGUAAAGCUCUUUCGGACGGAACGAAACGGGCGAGGUUAAUAACCUUGUCCACUGACGGUACCGUAAGAAGAAGCACCGGCUAACUACGUGCCAGCAGCCGCGGUAAUACGUAGGGUGCGAGCGUUAAUCGGAAUUACUGGGCGUAAAGCGUGCGCAGGCGGUUUUGUAAGCUGGAGGUGAAAUCCCCGGGGCUUAACCUGGGAAUGGCCUUCAGGACUGCAAGGCUUGAGUACGGCAGAGGGAGGUGGAAUUCCACGUGUAGCAGUGAAAUGCGUAGAUAUGUGGAGGAACACCGAUGGCGAAGGCAGCCUCCUGGGCCAGUACUGACGCUCAUGCACGAAAGCGUGGGGAGCAAACAGGAUUAGAUACCCUGGUAGUCCACGCCCUAAACGAUGUCAACUAGGUGUUGGGAAGGUGACUUCCUUAGUACCGCAGCUAACGCGUGAAGUUGACCGCCUGGGGAGACGGUCCGCGAAGGUUAAACCGUUAAACGGAAAGUUGUACGGCGUUGAGUAGUUAGCGACGCGACGACGAGGGAGGAGG
rnacentral:rRNA from 1 species